CCUACGGGGGGCUGCAGUGGGGAAUAUUGGACAAUGGGCGAAAGCCUGAUCCAGCCAUGCCGCGUGUGUGAAGAAGGCCUUCGGGUUGUAAAGCACUUUCAGUGGGGAAGAAAGCCUUGGGGCUAAUACCCUCGAGGAAGGACAUCACCCACAGAAGAAGCACCGGCUAACUCCGUGCCAGCAGCCGCGGUAAUACGGAGGGUGCGAGCGUUAAUCGGAAUUACUGGGCGUAAAGCGCGCGUAGGCGGUCUGAUAAGCCGGUUGUGAAAGCCCCGGGCUCAACCUGGGAACGGCAUCCGGAACUGUCAGGCUAGAGUGCAGGAGAGGAAGGUAGAAUUCCCGGUGUAGCGGUGAAAUGCGUAGAGAUCGGGAGGAAUACCAGUGGCGAAGGCGGUCUUCUGGACUGACACUGACGCUGAGGUGCGAAAGCGUGGGUAGCAAACAGGAUUAGAUACCCUGGUAGUC
rnacentral:rRNA from 1 species